rnacentral:rRNA from 1 species
GAAUUCGCCCUUAGAGUUUGAUCCUGGCUCAGGACGAACGCUGGCGGCGUGCUUAACACAUGCAAGUCGAACGGGGAUUAUUUUGACAGAGACUUCGGUUGAAGUCGUUAUAAUCCUAGUGGCGGACGGGUGAGUAACGCGUGGGUAACCUGCCUCACACUGGGGGAUAACAGUCAGAAAUGACUGCUAAUACCGCAUAAGCGCACGGGAUUGCAUGAUCCAGUGUGAAAAACUCCGGUGGUGUGAGAUGGACCCGCGUUGGAUUAGCCAGUUGGCAGGGUAACGGCCUACCAAAGCGACGAUCCAUAGCCGGCCUGAGAGGGUGGACGGCCACAUUGGGACUGAGACACGGCCCAGACUCCUACGGGAGGCAGCAGUGGGGGAUAUUGCACAAUGGGGGAAACCCUGAUGCAGCGACGCCGCGUGGAGGAAGAAGGUUUUCGGAUUGUAAACUCCUGUCGUUAGGGACGAUAAUGACGGUACCUAACAAGAAAGCACCGGCUAACUACGUGCCAGCAGCCGCGGUAAAACGUAGGGUGCAAGCGUUGUCCGGAAUUACUGGGUGUAAAGGGAGCGCAGGCGGGAAGACAAGUUGGAAGUGAAAACCAUGGGCUCAACCCAUGAAUUGCUUUCAAAACUGUUUUUCUUGAGUAGUGCAGAGGUAGAUGGAAUUCCCGGUGUAGCGGUGGAAUGCGUAGAUAUCGGGAGGAACACCAGUGGCGAAGGCGGUCUACUGGGCACCAACUGACGCUGAGGCUCGAAAGCAUGGGUAGCAAACAGGAUUAGAUACCCUGGUAGUCCAUGCCGUAAACGAUGAUUACUAGGUGUUGGAGGAUUGACCCCUUCAGUGCCGCAGUUAACACAAUAAGUAAUCCACCUGGGGAGUACGACCGCAAGGUUGAAACUCAAAGGAAUUGACGGGGGCCCGCACAAGCAGUGGAUUAUGUGGUUUAAUUCGAAGCAACGCGAAGAACCUUACCAGGGCUUGACAUCCAACUAACGAGGUAGAGAUACGUUAGGUGCCCUUCGGGGAAAGUUGAGACAGGUGGUGCAUGGUUGUCGUCAGCUCGUGUCGUGAGAUGUUGGGUUAAGUCCCGCAACGAGCGCAACCCUUAUUGUUAGUUGCUACGCAAGAGCACUCUAGCGAGACUGCCGUUGACAAAACGGAGGAAGGUGGGGAUGACGUCAAAUCAUCAUGCCCCUUAUGUCCUGGGCUACACACGUAAUACAAUGGCGGUCAACAGAGGGAUGCAAAACCGUAAGGUGGAGCGAACCCCUAAAAGCCGUCUCAGUUCAGAUUGUGGGCUGCAACCCGCCCACAUGAAGUCGGAAUCGCUAGUAAUCGCGGAUCAGCAUGCCGCGGUGAAUACGUUCCCGGGCCUUGCACACACCGCCCGUCA